GUCACAGUGAACUGUGACUAUUUCUCCAUAUGGUUCGUGUCUGACCACGAACAGACACGAACACUGGGUUUCUGUGAAUAGGUCAACUAUUCGGUGUGAAUAUUGCGUCCUACAAGGACUCAACAUUAACGUACAACUCCAGCAUGAAUUUGGGUUUACAGAAGAUAAAUAAAUUAUUUACCAGGAGAUCCAAACUCAUAGAAAUAACACAGAUUAGUCCGUUGUCAGUGGGUAAAUCCUCGAGAUUAUAAGACUUUUUUACAGAUAAUACGGAUCUGGCAUCAAUCAGAACUGAUGCCAGAUCAUCUUAUUUUAGCAAUAUUAUUCACCAAAGCAGAAAUAGCCCAAAAGUGUUAUUUAAUAUUAUCAGCAGUAUUGUUUCUCUUCCAGCACAUCAAUUUUAUUGACCUCAAAUGAUGACUGMAAUAUGUUCCUCAGCUUCUUUAGAAACAAGGUGAUGGACCUGAAAACCAACAUAGCUUUGAGCUCAUCUACUUUUAAUAAAGUAGAUGUCAUAAAAAUAUGACAUUAUUUGUAAUAUUUUUUAUAUAYAAGUUUGAGGACAGACGGUGCGGACAACAAUGCUAGAGUUUACAGUGACCACUUUCUAACAGGAAACAAUCGGACCAUUUAAAUUGUAUUUUUAGAUAUUUUAUUGGACAGUUACUUAGACAGGCAAGCAUUCAUAUGUAAGGUAAGAUAUAUUAUUUUUAUUCCGUUGUGUGGUUGUCCUCGGAGUGCUAAUGUUGCCAGCAGCUAGCUCAGUGCCAAGUCACGGACAGAAAAUAUGUUUAUUCAGUGAGACUUUCAUGCUAAAAAAUAAAAAAUAAAGCUAACUAAAGUAAAUAUAACCUAUCCAGCCAUAUAGUCACCAUGAGCUGUUAUAUCCCCCCACAUGCUUCGUGUCUGGCCACGAACGGUCUUUAGUUGAAAUUUAUUUAAACUACUAGCACGUUAAGGAGUGACGUGGGUGCUACAUCGUCUGGUUUUCAGUCACGUGACCCGGAUGACCCGCGAAAUUCAGACGGAGGGCCAGAAGGGGAUUUCCACAGUUAAAAAAAGUAAAAUAGAUUAMGAGUAUGCUAAUGCCCUAAAUAGGUUGGAACAGUGAAAGCAUCUCGAAAAAAUACGCGUAUAUUCAACACAUAAUCCGUAUUAUCUCGGUAAAAAAAGACUUCUCUUAUAAUAUUGAGGAUUUAACCGCAUCGAUGCGAUCCACAUAACUAACUGGAGCUGCAGACCUCAUGUACAACAAGCAAGAAGAAAGCUUUCAUCAGCCUGGAGAAUACAAUCAUUUAGUUUGAAGUUGGGUCAAGCAAUUAGCAUUUGAAGAAGCAUUAAAUUGCCGUGGACUUGUUUGUAGCACACUUAACCCUUGUGCGUGUGAGGACUGAGGCAAAUAAUACAAGUUUUACGURUGGUUCGUCAGUUGGACCCCAUUUCUAGACAUAGGGGUUAAAAUUAUGCUAUUUUAAGCAAUCAGUCUGAUAACAAUACUACCGCUAACUACGAUCUAACCCAUGUUAUUUCUAUGAGCUUUGAUCUCAUUAAUUUAGCUUCUGUAAACCCAAAUUGAUGCUGGAGUUGUACGUUAAUGUUGAGUCGUUSUAGGAAGCUGGAUUCAGGUCCAAUGUAGGUCAACGAUUGCUCCGAUCUACAGAAACCCCAUGUCCAUGUCUGGACAUGCAUAGUGUCCAGACACGAAGCGUAUGGGGGAAUAGUCACAGCUCAUGGUGACUGUAUGACUCGGUCACGUGCCCGGAUACCUGGAGAGGCCCACUACACUGGGGCAGGUGCUAUGAAUCUGCUUAAGUAGCAUGGAGACUGGGAAGGACAGAAGAAGGCAAUACGCAGCUAGAAAAGGAGCAGACGGACUUGGGGUGAUCACGUUGUUGGAGCUGAAGGACGGUGUAUGCGGACCGGUGGACUAGACGGGGGGACUGGUCGCCGUAGAGGAGCGGGCGGCUGGAUCAUUGACGAGGUUCGCCAGGAACUGGAGGAUUUAACCGGAUCGUGCCAAGAAGGGGUUGAGAGUGGUGGAGGACCGCGCCCUUUCUUCCUUGCCCAGCUAAGACAAUUACAGAUGUGCUUAUUGACUUAUUGUCAAGGACUGCCUGCACCUCCUUGUCUUUAGAUUAUUUGUCUUCUAAAUAAAUUAUUGUAACUUU